rnacentral:rRNA from 1 species
AGAGUUUGAUCAUGGCUCAGAACGAACGCUGGCGGCAGGCUUAACACAUGCAAGUCGAGCGCCCCGCAAGGGGAGCGGCAGACGGGUGAGUAACGCGUGGGAACGUACCCUUUGCUACGGAAUAACUCCGGGAAACUGGAACUAAUACCGUAUGUGCCCUUCGGGGGAAAGAUUUAUCGGCAAGGGAUCGGCCCGCGUUGGAUUAGCUAGUUGGUGGGGUAAAGGCCUACCAAGGCGACGAUCCAUAGCUGGUCUGAGAGGAUGAUCAGCCACACUGGGACUGAGACACGGCCCAGACUCCUACGGGAGGCAGCAGUGGGGAAUAUUGGACAAUGGGCGCAAGCCUGAUCCAG